rnacentral:rRNA from 1 species
CCUACGGGAGGCAGCAGUGAGGAAUAUUGGUCAAUGGUCGGAAGGCUGAACCAGCCAAGCCGCGUGAAGGAAGAAGGUGCCAAGCAUUGUAAACCUCUUUUGUCAAGGGACAAAAUCAAGCACGAGAGCCUGACCGAGGGUACUUGAAGAAAAAGCAUCGGCUAACUCCGUGCCAGCAGCCGCGGUAAUAAGGAGGAUGCGAGCGUUAUCCGGAUUUAUUGGGUUUAAAGGGUGCGGAGGCGGUCUGUUAAGGCAGCGGUAAAAGCCCGGGGCUCAAACGCGGCCAGCCGUUGAAAAUGGCUGUCUUGAGAUGUCGAGAGGUAUGCGGAAUGCGCGGUGUAGCGGUGAAAUGCAUAGAUAUUGCGCAGAACUCCGAUUGCGAAGGCAGCAUACCGGCGGCAAUCUGACGCUGAGGCACGAAAGCGUGGGUAUCGAACAGGAUUAGAUACCCGUGUAGUC